rnacentral:rRNA from 1 species
CAGUCGCCGCGGGAAUACGAAGGGUGCAAGCGUUAAUCGGAAUUACUGGGCGUAAAGCGUGCGUAGGCGGUGAGUUAAGUCUGCUGUGAAAUCCCCGGGCUCAACCUGGGAAUGGCAGUGGAUACUGGCUCGCUAGAGUGUGUCAGAGGAUGGUGGAAUUCCCGGUGUAGCGGUGAAGUGCGUAGAGAUCGGGAGGAACAUCAGUGGCGAAGGCGGCCAUCUGGGACAACACUGACGCUGAGGCACGAAAGCGUGGGGAGCAAACAGGAUUAGAUACCCCUGUAGUCCCUGUCUCUUAUAC